rnacentral:rRNA from 1 species
GAUGAACGCUGGCGGCGUGCCUAAUACAUGCAAGUCGAGCGAACAGAUAAGGAGCUUGCUCCUUUGAAGUUAGCGGCGGACGGGUGAGUAACACGUGGGUAACCUACCUAUAAGACUGGGAUAACUUCGGGAAACCGGAGCUAAUACCGGAUAACAUUUAGAACCGCAUGGUUCUAAAGUGAAAGAUGGUUUUGCUAUCACUUAUAGAUGGACCCGCGCCGUAUUAGCUAGUUGGUAAGGUAACGGCUUACCAAGGCGACGAUACGUAGCCGACCUGAGAGGGUGAUCGGCCACACUGGAACUGAGACACGGUCCAGACUCCUACGGGAGGCAGCAGUAGGGAAUCUUCCGCAAUGGGCGAAAGCCUGACGGAGCAACGCCGCGUGAGUGAUGAAGGGUUUCGGCUCGUAAAACUCUGUUAUUAGGGAAGAACAAAUGUGUAAGUAACUGUGCACAUCUUGACGGUACCUAAUCAGAAAGCCACGGCUAACUACGUGCCAGCAGCCGCGGUAAUACGUAGGUGGCAAGCGUUAUCCGGAAUUAUUGGGCGUAAAGCGCGCGUAGGCGGUUUCUUAAGUCUGAUGUGAAAGCCCACGGCUCAACCGUGGAGGGUCAUUGGAAACUGGGAAACUUGAGUGCAGAAGAGGGAAAGUGGAAUUCCAUGUGUAGCGGUGAAAUGCGCAGAGAUAUGGAGGAACACCAGUGGCGAAGGCGACUUUCUGGUCUGUAACUGACGCUGAUGUGCGAAAGCGUGGGGAUCAAACAGGAUUAGAUACCCUGGUAGUCCACGCCGUAAACGAUGAGUGCUAAGUGUUAGGGGGUUUCCGCCCCUUAGUGCUGCAGCUAACGCAUUAAGCACUCCGCCUGGGGAGUACGACCGCAAGGUUGAAACUCAAAGGAAUUGACGGGGACCCGCACAAGCGGUGGAGCAUGUGGUUUAAUUCGAAGCAACGCGAAGAACCUUACCAAAUCUUGACAUCCUUUGAAAACUCUAGAGAUAGAGCCUUCCCCUUCGGGGGACAAAGUGACAGGUGGUGCAUGGUUGUCGUCAGCUCGUGUCGUGAGAUGUUGGGUUAAGUCCCGCAACGAGCGCAACCCUUAAGCUUAGUUGCCAUCAUUAAGUUGGGCACUCUAGGUUGACUGCCGGUGACAAACCGGAGGAAGGUGGGGAUGACGUCAAAUCAUCAUGCCCCUUAUGAUUUGGGCUACACACGUGCUACAAUGGACAAUACAAAGGGCAGCUAAACCGCGAGGUCAUGCAAAUCCCAUAAAGUUGUUCUCAGUUCGGAUUGUAGUCUGCAACUCGACUACAUGAAGCUGGAAUCGCUAGUAAUCGUAGAUCAGCAUGCUACGGUGAAUACGUUCCCGGGUCU